rnacentral:rRNA from 1 species
CCNUUNCGAGAUAGCCAGCAUGUCUAGUUCAUGCCGUAUUAAGGCGAAACCGCGAAUGGCUCAUUAAAUCAGUUAUGGUUCCUUGGAUCGUACUUUACUACUUGGAUAACUGUGGCAAUUCUAGAGCUAAUACAUGCAGCAGAGCUCCGACCUUUUGCGAGGGACGAGCGCUUUUAUUAGACCAAAACCGAUCUGGUCCUCGUGGCCAGUAUCCGUGGUGACUCUGUAUAACUUUGGGCUGAUCGCACGGGCUCGUCCCGGCGACGUAUCUUUCAAGUGUCUGCCUUAUCAACUGUCGACGGUAGGUUACGCGCCUACCGUGGUCGUAACGGGUAACGGGGGAUCAGGGUUCGAUUCCGGAGAGGGAGCCUGAGAAACGGCUACCACAUCCAAGGAAGGCAGCAGGCGCGCAAAUUACCCACUCCCGGCACGGGGAGGUAGUGACGAAAAAUAACAAUACGGGACUCUUUUGAGACCCCGUAAUUGGAAUGAGUACACUCCAAACCCUUUAACGAUGAACUAUUGGAGGUAAAGUCUGGUGCCAGCAUCCGCGGUAACUCCAGCUCCAAUAGCGUAUAUUAAAGUUGUUGCGGUUAAAAAGCUCGUAGUUGGAUCUUGGGUUGUUACCUUUCGGUCCGGUUCACUCCGGUAACUGAACGGUAGCGAUCAUUACGGCAGGCCAGCGUCCAUGAUCUUGACCGGUUGUGGACGUCGGCCGGCACGUUUACUUUGAAAAAAUUAGAGUGCUCAAAGCAGGCGCGACGCCUGGAUAAUGGUGCAUGGAAUAAUGGAAUAGGACCUCGGUUCUAUUUUGUUGGUUUUCGGAACACGAGGUAAUGAUUAAGAGGGACAGACGGGGGCAUUCGUAUUGCGACGCUAGAGGUGAAAUUCUUGGACCGCCGCACGACGAACUACUGCGAGANUUUUUUUUCCANAAANAA